CGCAUCUGUGCAUGCAGCAUAUCAAUAAGCGGAGGAAAAGAAACUAACAAGGAUUCCCCUAGUAACGGCGAGUGAAGCGGGAAGAGCUCAAAUUUGAAAUCUUAAAGGGUUUCCCUUUACGAAUUGUAGUUUAAAGAAGUGUUUUCUGUUGAGGUUUUGGUAAAAGUUCUUUGGAAUAGGACAUCAUAGAGGGUGAGAAUCCCGUAUUUGACCUUUACUUUCAACUUUGUGAUACACUUUCAAAGAGUCGGAUUGUUUGGGAAUGCAGUCCAAAAUGGGUGGUAAAUUUCAUCUAAAGCUAAAUAUUGGCGAGAGACCGAUAGCGAACAAGUACCGUGAGGGAAAGAUGAAAAGAACUUUGAAAAGAGAGUUAAACAGUACGUGAAAUUGUCAAAAGGGAAGCGUUUGACACCAGUGUUGUUUUUCUGAAAAUCAAUUAAAGAACUGUUUAUGCUAAGCUGUUUAGACUUUAUCAGCCUAUCUGUUUAGUUUUGAGCUUUUCUUUAAUGCACUUCUCAGUUAACAGGUCAACAUCAAUUUCUUUUGCUGUAAAAAAGCUUGAGGAAGGUGGCUUGAGAUUCGUCUUAAGUGUUUAUAGCCUCUUGCCUAUGCAGUCGGAGAGAUUGAGGUCUGCAGCGUAGAUCCUUCGGGGCUAAAUGCAUUUGUGCUAAGUUAUAGCAUUUUAUAGACAACUUGUUGACUAUGAUUUGUCUUGUAGCUUACUCGCUUAUGUUAUUUUACCUACGCUUAGGAUGUUGAGUCGUAGAGCACGCAG
rnacentral:rRNA from 1 species